GUGCUCACUUUGGCAGUACAUAUACUAAAAUUGGAAUGAUACAGAGAUUAGCGUGGUCCCUGUGCAAGGAUGACACACAAAUUCAUGAAACAUUCCAUAUUUUU